CCUACGGGAGGCAGCAGUGGGGAAUAUUGGACAAUGGGCGCAAGCCUGAUCCAGCCAUGCCGCGUAAGUGAUGAAGGCCUUAGGGUUGUAAAGCUCUUUCACCAGAGAAGAUAAUGACGGUAUCCGGAGAAGAAGCCCCGGCUAACUUCGUGCCAGCAGCCGCGGUAAU
rnacentral:rRNA from 1 species